CAACAGUGGCGACCCCAUCAUCAGAACUCCCCAAAUUCUGGGAAGUUCAGAGCCCUCGGCCUGCAGCCCGGGAGGCCUCGUGCCCAGACGCCAUGCACCCUCCGGUGACCAGCUGCCACCUGUCCAUCCUCCAAGACCGGAAAGGCAGCAGCAGCCCCUGGGAGCCCAGGGCUGUCCUUGGUGCAUCCAGCUGCAGAGGGAAAUUGAUGACCUUACACAGCAACUAGCGGCCAUGCAGUCCUUCACUGACAAGUUCCAGGACCUUUGAAGUUGGAGCCAGCGUCCGGAGCUGCAGCCAAGCGAGUUUCCUCCUUAUCCUCCUUAGCCAGGGCUUUUUCUCUUCCGCUGCAUUUGCCCCCUUCCCAACGCAGUUCAAAGCAGUGUGAAAUAAAG
rnacentral:lncRNA from 1 species